rnacentral:sRNA from 1 species
AGAAUUUAUGUUUAUUAGGCACUAAUUCUGGGCCAAUUCUCAAAACUAUCCUGUGUGGUUUCAGAACCGAAGAGCCAAGUUCCGCAGGAAUGAGAGAGCCAUGCUAGCCAAUAAAAACGCUUCCCUCCUCAAAUCCUACUCAGGAGACGUGACUGCUGUGGAGCAGCCCAUCGUACCUCGUCCUGCUCCGAGACCCACCGAUUAUCUCUCCUGGGGGACAGCGUCUCCGUACAGCGCCAUGGCUACUUAUUCUGCCACAUGUGCCAACAAUAGCCCUGCACAGGGCAUCAACAUGGCCAACAGCAUUGCCAACCUGAGACUGAAGGCCAAGGAAUAUAGUUUACAGAGGAACCAGGUGCCAACAGUCAACUGAGGAAAAAAAAUAAUUAAACAGGCCUAAGAAGAAAUCAAAAACCAUAAGACACCUAUCCCGCUCUGUUAUUUCUUCAUCUGCUGGGGGAAAAAAGUAAAUUACAAACAAACAAACAAAGCAGAACUAAAAUAUUGGGACCAUGGCAGAGAAAAGCAGGAGAGGAGCAAAAUGAAAAUUAGUUAACAAAUGUUCCUCCUCCCUCUGGGAUACCAC